AAAAUGAAUGAGCUAGAGUUCACUCUUCCUCUCUCAAACUCUCCAUCGCUCUCAUUCUGUACCAAACCCCUCUCCUUUUUCAGAACAACAACACCUAAACCGUACAGAAGCAUCACGAAAUAACGCCGGUGAUGGAUUUUCAAACAAUGACAAACAAAUAAUGGUAAACAAUCGAACGCAUCAUGCAUAAAGAGAAAGUGAUAACCUGUGAACCCGCGGACGCGACGUCGACUUGAUCGAUUUGGCCUUCCUCUGAACUGCCUUCGCCUCCUUUUCUUCGUAGCGGUGGCUUCAGAUAGGGUUUCGAAUUUGGUCUAUGGAGAUCAAAAGGGGUUUCUGCCAAAAACACUUUUUGUGCCCAGUAUUGGAUUGGUCCCUUUGAUGUUUGAACUUGGAACAGUAAAAAUAUUGAAGAUUCAAAAGCAGUUUCGAUUUUGAUCACAGCUCUGGUUCACAGUUUCGGUUACGGUGAAUGAAAAUGUUCCGCCGGAGAUCUCCGAAAUUGAGUGCAUUGACGAGGCAUCAUGGUCUGCGCCAAAUCCAAAAGCAUGCACGGGAAUUUGAAAUCCCGAAUUAUCUCGACCACUGAUGGAAAUCGGCAGAAGCAAAUGAUAGUUUGGUUGAGGUUGGUCAUUUCCCGAGCUGCCAACAGUGUAAUUAUCUUGCCCAUCCGACAACAGAAUAAUAUUCGCAACUUAGUUCUUUUCUUUUCGGUCUUCCAUUAUCUUGGCACCUUUUCUCAGCCCUUCCGCAAUACUGGUACCACCAUUUGCAACCAAAGAAUUAACAGCUUGUAAUGCCUGUUGCCGUCCAGAAUCAGUCAUCUUACAUAGUGGAAGGAGACGGCGAGCCGUGGAAGAGAAAACAAUAACAGAAAUCCCAUAGCCCUUUUUAGUAGUGCGAGCUUAGUUCCAGCCAGGCUACCACUGAUGUCAAGCACGGUGACCAAGUCAAAUAGGGCACGCGGAGUCUGCGAGGUCCGCGUCAAGCUGGUUUGAUUUCUGCUAAGAUUUUGUCUUCUGGUAGAAGCAGCGGCUGCAGCAGUAGCGUAAAUAUUUCUCUCAGAAAUUGCAUUGUUGGUGAUGAUGGAGCUGGAAGCAUUCCAACAGAACUUUGCGGAAGACCGGCAGUCCUUGUUGGAGUCACUCAGAAGCUGAUUGCAGGUUGACUCAAGGAAUAGCAUCUCAAAAAUUGUUGUCUGCCGCAACCACACGCUCAUACAUGGCUUCCGGUGCUCUGUUGGAGUUGAGUCUCCUGCAAAUGCAGUUCUUUCUCUCUAGUUGUAACAGGUUUGUCAAGUUUGGAAUUCUGCACAAAAUUGCAUUGGCCGCCGGUUGAUUUUAAUAACAGGUGCUUGGCUUGUAUCUUGAUGAGGCUGAAGCACAAUAGUCAGUUUAAGAAUUUAAUCGUCUUGAAAUGACUCCGGUGGGUCUUAGCAUGACGGUAACCGUACAUAUAUAAUCUUGUACUUCCAAACUCCUUUGCUUUGUCAAUGAGACCAGCUCUUCCAAAGAGAUGGUCCAUACAAGAAUAGUGCUUAAUCCUUGAAUUUAUUUGCGUAGACUUCUAUCAUUUGUCUAAAUAGCAAUUGCCCUUGUGUUACAAGACCGGAAUGAAUACAAGCUGUAGGUUUGAGGUUUGAGGUCUGUUUAGAUACCGGCUAUCAAUGGGUGAAGGUCCUUCAUCUAAAGAGAUGCAAGUAACAGCAACAUGCUGAAUCAUCCACGACUUAUCCUUUGGAAAUGGAAAGUUAGAAGGAUCCAAUCAAAAACACGUAACAUUGAGUGCUGCAGUGAGAGGCAUAUGCCAGGAUGUUCCUGUGCUACAAACGCCUCAACGAGCUUCUGCACAGUUUCGACGUCGUAAGCUGGACUCAAAUAUAUUCAGAGCCGGAACCCAUGUGCCGAGAAGAAAUUCAGUGUGGAGAUUGUUAAGGUAGAUCAGCUUUGACAAUGCUCUCAUCAACGGUUCAUUAUCCUGCAUAUGACCAGCUGUAUCAACGAGCACCACAUCUGAACCAUUACGAGAAGCUUCCUGAAUGGCUCCUUUUUUUUGUUUUGCAACAGCUUAUAGCGAAAAUGCAACAUGUACAAAGGUUUGAAGAUUUAAAAUCAGAACCACAGAGAUUAUCAUAUAAGCGGGGUAACAGCUGACCAGGUCGAGAAUACACGGUCCACUUCUUCGAGCCAAAAAAUUUGGCAGACAAAUACACAGUAAUCAUCAAAGUGACGGGCCAAACCUUGAGAGUUAGGUGGUGUUAAGUACAAAUUGGCAUCUACUGAAGGUUGGCCAAACAUAAGUGCUAAUGUAUCAGCAAUAGCAGCAAUACCCGGAUACCGAAAUUCCAGACCACGCAGAGCAACUGUAUAACCCUCUUUAUAAGCUUGCUCAUACUUUAAGACAUCUUCAGUAGUUAAAUACAGAGGUUCCUUAAGGCAGUCCGGAUGAAAGUCCUGAAGGCACCGCACAUAUCUCUUUGUGUAUCCUAAAUCAUUAACCAAUGGAACUUCCAAGGCUUUUGCCAACUGACGGGCUGAUGCAACAAACAAAUUGCAAUUAUUUUGCAACUCUGGAAUGGAUAGAUUGGGUGCUGCAUUUUGUGUACAUGCCUGAUAUUUUUGAGCAACUGCUUCAAGCUGACUAACCUGAGGAAUUAACAAUCUUCUGGGGAUGAGCUCUUCAUGAUGCCGAGCACAAAAUUUCCAAGAACAUAUCUUCAGGUCUGUGUUGUUGCUGAUACAUGUAAUGUGUCAGCCGCCUAGCACACAUCCCAGGUUCAUAUGCUGGUUUCACAGGAGACCUUAUGGGCAUAUUCUGCUGUUGAAACUGUUGCGGUAGCUGGGACCGUUGCUGCUGAGGUAUUGACUUUAAGAGUUACUGCUGCUGAUGUUGCAAAAGUCUCUGCUGUUGCAAAAGAUUCAUCUGUGCAGCAGUAGCCUGAGAGGUGAUACCGUAACUGCAAGCACUUCAUCCUGGGUAACGGCGGCUGAAAAGUGGUUGAGCUUGUUACUGGUUCUUCCAGAAUUCUGGACUGUUGAAGAUUGGGUCAAGGAGUGAGCUUGGUGUGAAAUUCCAACCGGAACGGAAAGAUUGCGGCAUUGUUGGAGGUGGCGGAGAAUGCCAUGGGGUGGCAGGCGCAAAGACCAUAUGCCAACAUGGGGUUUGGCGGAUGGGAAUUCACUGUAUAGGAAGGAAAUUGUAUUGGUUUCUUUGAUUUGAUUUUGAUGCACGUUGCUAUUGUUGUGAUUUGGAUGGUAGGCUAUUUGGGAACUCUUAUGGGAUUGGGAUUGGGAUUUGAGGUGAAUUAUGGUUAUACCUUGGUUGUAAUUUUUGGAUGAAUUUUGAGAAUUGGUUGUAACGUAGGAGUUAGUUGUAGGAUAUGGGAAUGGAUAUGCAAUGGUAAUUAAAUGUAAUUGGACAUGAAAAUAUGUGUACGAAAAUGAGUUCGGAAAUGCUUGAAAGCUAAAUAUUAUUGAAUGUUA